AUGUGAUCGUGUGUGGGUUAUUCCUAUUUUUGGCAAUUAUAUUUCUCUAAAAGCGUCCACAAUUCAACCGAUCGAUUAUCAAUCCAAAUUCCAAAAUUCAAAGAAUCAAUGGAGAAUGAGGACGAGAACGGGUCGUACUACGAAAAAGUCGAUUGCCUGGCGCGAUGGCUCGGCAUGGGCGUCGCGGCGGCGUUCUUCGCCUCCCUCGAGCGCUGCUCCUGCGUCAACCUAACCACCUUCGACACUGACGACGACAACGAAGCGGAGGAGGCUAAGGAUCGCCCCCUCGUGCUCACCUCCUACCCUUCCUUCAGCUCCACCACUUCUUCUUUCGCCGCCCCCAAUAAUCCCGUUGCUAAUCUGAAAAAUCCUCCCACGCCCGUUGAGAAUCUGCCAGUCUGAUCGCCUCGCCGAUGAACAUGAUCGGAGAUGAUCGAUGUGGAUCAGUAUAUAUAUGUGGAGUUCGAAAGUCUGGAGGCUGGACAUCUUGUGAAGCCCAACUAAAGCCGGUGUUUUGUUGGAUGUUUUUACUUUUGCACUUGAAUAAUUGUUGUAGUAAUUUUUCAACUUGGUUUCACAUGGGAAAAAUAGCUCUUUUACA